AUUGAACGCUGGCGGCAUGCUUUACACAUGCAAGUCGAACGGCAGCACGGACUUCGGUCUGGUGGCGAGUGGCGAACGGGUGAGUAAUACAUCGGAACGUACCCAGUAAUGGGGGAUAACUAUCCGAAAGGAUAGCUAAUACCGCAUACGCCCUACGGGGGAAAGAGGGGGAUCGCAAGACCUCUUGUUAUUGGAGCGGCCGAUGGCUGAUUAGCUAGUUGGUGAGGUAAAGGCUCACCAAGGCGACGAUCAGUAGCGGGUCUUAGAGGACGAUCCGCCACACGGGAACUGAGACACGGUCCAGACUCCUACGGGAGGCAGCAGUGGGGAAUCUUGGACAAUGGGCGCAAGCCUGAUCCAGCAAUGCCGCGUGCGUGAAGAAGGCCUUCGGGUUGUAAAGCGCUUUUGUCAGGGAGCAAAUCCUUGUGGCUAAUACCCACCGGGGAUGAGAGUACCUGAAGAAUAAGGACCGGCUAACUACGUGCCAGCAGCCGCAGUAACAC
rnacentral:rRNA from 1 species